UACGUAGGGUGCAAGCGUUGUCCGGAAUUAUUGGGCGUAAAGAGCUCGUAGGCGGCCUGUCGCGUCGGCUGUGAAAACCCGCGGCUCAACUGUGGGCGGGCAGCUGAUACGGGCAGGCUGGAGUUCGGUAGGGGAGACUGGAAUUCCUGGUGUAGCGGUGAAAUGCGCAGAUAUCGAGAGGAACACCUGCGGCGAAGGCGGGUAGCUGGGCCGACACUGACGCUGAGGCGCGAAAGCCAGGGGAGCGAACGGG
rnacentral:rRNA from 1 species